rnacentral:lncRNA from 1 species
AAAAAUUACACAAAACAAGAAUCGAGAAGGGCCCCAUUGGAGGCGGUUUUGUUUUUUCUCACGGCAGCGCCGCCGAGUUUUGUUCGCGUCCACCGAUCCUUUACUGCGAUUUGGCCAUGGGGGUGUUCAAAAUAGAAUUUCAAACGAAUAGAAAAAAAAUUUACUUCUUUUGGCGAUUGGAAAUGGCUCCGGCGAAGCGGCAGGCGGCGAUCGAAUCCUUUCCUAGUGACUGGCUCUUCUUCUCUGGCGGGGGGAAGGGUCUGGCGACUAGGGUUAGGGUUUGGUAUGAAAAGAGUUAUUUAUAUUCGUCUUCUUUUAAUCUGGGCCGUCCAUCACGUUUGAUUUGGACCGUUCAUUGGAAUUUGAUA